AUGCAGCCCACACGUAGGUGAGUCACCCCUAGUCUGAUGGCACUAUCUACUGUACCUGAUACUCCAAAAAAAAUCUACUGUACAUGAUGCGGAGAUGGGACAGAAUUAGAAGAAAUAAAGAAAAAGACCAAGUGAGCAAUUUCGGAAAGCAAAAUGGUGAGAAUAGUGUGAACCGGAGGCGUGGAAGGGGAAUAGAGACGGCCGCCAUGAGAGCGGUCGGUCACCAGCUUCGUCGGCAGUACGUCGUCGCUGCCGAGGGCGGGAUGGCAGAUCCGGACUCUGUGCAGCUGCUGGGCGGUCCACAGUGGGGGUGCGAGGCCGACGGCGUGGGCUCCCUAUGGAGCUGGGGCGGAGGGCGGUGCAGGAGCGGCGAUGCGCGCCCUUGUCCGCUGCAGAGCGGCCGGCGAGCUAACUGGAGCAGGAGCGAGCGUGGAUUGAGACAUCAGUGGUAGCACUCAGAAUCUGAGGUCACCAGAAAAGAAAGAUCAGCUUUGCUGCAGGCCCGGCUGGAACCGGCGGUGUCCAUCUCCAUUGUUUGCUAUUGUGUGCCAACAACCACGACACAGAAGCAGGACGAUCUGGCCGGUGGCCACCAAGACAUCGUCCACCAAUCAAAAGGACUGAAUCAAGAACGAAAGUGAAUUGUAAGCCUGUUGUCAGCGUCCGGCGGCGCAAGCCCCCACGGCUGCUUCUCUACAGGACGCAGUCCGCAAGAGGAUAGGCACCACGGCGGCAAUCGGUGCGUGCCAGGCCGCGGCCGUUUCCAUCGCAGCGUUGACCAUGAAACGUCGAGUGGGGCUCCUUUGUCGCCAGAGGCAAGGGCGCUGCUGGCCCCAUGGCGCCGGCCAUGGCGGGGCUCUUCAUCCUCAAUUAGGGCGGCUGCGCCACCUCACAAACCAAUGAAAGGGAGGCCAAGCGCGGGGAGGACCUAGUCGAUCUCUCCCGCAGCUCCUGGCCGCCGGGGAUCACGAUACGGCGAUACGGAUACGGAUACCGCGAUACGGCGAUACGGCGAUUUUUCAAAAACACGGAUACGGGGAUACGUUUGUAUAUAUGUAAUAAAUAUUAAUAAUAUAUAUAAAUUACUGAUUGUUGUACGAGAAUAAGAAUUACUAUAUGGGAGUAUAGAAUUCUAGAUGUAUAUCCGGACAUUCCAAUUCA